UCUUGUGUGUUUAAGGAAAUUAUUUUAUCAAAUGUUUUGGAUCCACCAGGUCUCAGCGCACAAAUCAGAGUUCUGCUACAGACGUGAAUGAAGGUCAACACGAUCAAUACGGUUCUCCUCUCCACGAUGAAUCCAAAGACAUCACAUAUUCUUCAAUUGACUUUAAAAACAUCAAGACUAAGAAGGGGAAGAAAAAGGAAUCAGAGGAGAAAUCGAUUUACUCUGAUUUGAAGUUGAGACCAUCCACAGAUGACAGUCAACUAUAUGCUCGGGUCCACAAGAAAGACAGAGGUCAGUAAAUUCUGCAGCUACAACUGUUGAAACAAAUUUCCACCUUUGAUUGUGAUGUUACCCUGAAAUGUUUUCAAUCAUGUCUUCUUCUACAGUGAAGCCAGUUCCUGCAGCUGAUGAGAUGCUAUAUUCUGAAGUAAAACCAGAAUAAAUACUUGAAGUUGGUUUAAAAUAGAAGUAAACUGUUGUGACUGAUCCUACCUUGUCGAAUUCUCCUAAAUUAACUGCAGAACUAUAAAGUGAUAGUGGAUGACAAUAUUUAACUGUAAUGUACUGUAUCAUCUUAGCUUUAAUACAAAGACAUGAAAUGGCUCAAAAGUUAGAUUUUCUGUCAAUUUUCAGUUUUAGAAAGUUUACUGUAUAUCUCAUUACAUGUAAGAUUACUGAAAUGUCCUUUGUUGUAUUCUUCUGCUGUUCAGAAUAUGUAGUUUAUUUUUUA